rnacentral:rRNA from 1 species
AUGGAUCCAGCCGCCAAGAGGCACGGCGGUGGCCUGCUCCCAAGCUGCAGGUUGUAUAAUGUCUCCUCUCUGCUCUCGUUCCCUCCUUACCUUCACCCAUCUUCAGGCGCAAAUGGAGCUGCGGCAGUGACGUCAUCACCUGAAAUCAGGUUUCCCUCUCAGGUGGGGAGGGACAGAUGUGGCUGCAUCAACGAAGUGACAGAAGAAGGCUGCGUUGGUUGUACUCCGGGCACUGCCGCCUCCAUCCCUGCUCCAUCAGGUUUUCUAUUAAAGGGAAUUAAACCAUGGAUAUUUUUUCAUCACAUACAUGGAUUUAUCGUGCCUCUGCGCCAUUUGGCUCAACGGGUCAUCAGACACGAUCACAACAUCAUAUAUAUUGAGUGA